rnacentral:rRNA from 1 species
CUAGGCUUGACAUCCACGGGAAAGCUUUGAGAAACCAGAGCCCCUCUUCGGAGUCCGUGGACAGGUGCUGCAUGGCUGUCGUCAGCUCGUGUCGUGUGAUGUUGGGUUAAGUCCCGCAACGAGCGCAACCCCCGUUCCCAGUUGCCAGCGAGUAAAGUCGGGGACUCUGGGAAGACUGCCGGUGCCAAACCGGAGGAAGGUGGGGACGACGUCAAGUCAUCAUGGUCCUUACGUCUAGGGCUACACACGUGCUACAAUGGCCGGUACAGUGGGUUGCGAGCUAGCGAUAGCAAGCCAAUCCCUUAAAGCCGGCCUCAGUGCGGAUUGGAGGCUGCAACUCGCCUCCAUGAAGCUGGAAUCGCUAGUAAUCGUGGAUCAGCUACGCCACGGUGAAUACGUUCCC